rnacentral:rRNA from 1 species
GACGUAGGGCGCGAGCGUUGUCCGGAUUUAUUGGGCGUAAAGAGCUCGUAGGCGGCUUGUUGCGUCGACCGUGAAAACCCGUGGCUUAACUGCGGGCUUGCGGUCGAUACGGGCGGGCUGGAGUUCGGUAGGGGAGACUGGAAUUCCUGGUGUAGCAGUGAAAUGCGUAGAGAUCAUGAGGAAGACCAGUGGCGAAGGCGGGUCUCUGGACAGUUCCUGACACUGAGACACGAAGGCCAGGGGAGCAAACGGG